GAAGCGGUCGCCUGUGCCACCAGCAACGCUUCUACUGCUGGCGUCAAGCUGAGAGUCUAUCGGCUACAGCAGCAGCAUAGACGAGUGGCUUUCCGGCCUAUGCUUUGGCUUUGAGCGGCUGUAACGGCAGCGGUGGCGGCUUGAACCUGCUGAAAUUAUCAUACUAAUUGCGACUCGCAGCAAGUGGAGCGUGACUAAGCCACAUUGUUUCCCUGCCAUUCGUGUGAGCCGUGAGGAUCUCCCAGCAGCUCUUGAAAGCUGCAGUGGAAGCUUUCGAGAGCAAGUUUUCGGUCCACCGACUUAACGAGUUAUCUUUUCUCGGUGUAUUUUUCUUCGCGAAUUUUUUAGUUGCUCUGUUGUGUUACCACUAUGGUACCCCGCUCUCUUUCUCAACACUUCGGCGCGCUUUUUCGUUCGUUAUUUCGUGUGAAGCUCGGAAUUUGUUCGUGGGCAGCAGCAGAAAGUCGAAGGUAUUUUUAACGAAUGAAAACUUGGGCAAAAAAAGACGAUAGGAUUACCGUUGCUUCCCAUUCAAAUUCACGGCUUAGCCCUAGAAAAUAUAACGAUUAACCGAAACAGUGGUAGCCACGAUUGCAUUAGUACAAUUGCUCAUGGGCCGAUCUAGGCCAGCUACUACACAUUAAUUGUGGAUAUAUCAAUAGAAUAUGUUUGAAGACCAAAUGGCAUAAAGUAUUACACCAUCUGUGCAAAACCGUGAACUUCAGAUUUUGUUAUUUACAUUGUGCACCGAAGUAUUCCAGUGUUAUUGCAUGGACAAUGUUCAUCUGUAAUUAAGUAUUUCAAGACACGGACAUCGGCAUUGGGAUAAUUGCCAUUAUGAUAUGCGGCCUUUUGCUUACCUAGGCGUCAAACUACUGGAUGUACAUACGUACUGGCGGUCAAUAUGAGUGAGCUUCGGUAGCGGUGGGCGCCUCACUUGACAACGGCGGGUACAUCUCAUGCUCCUGCGCAGCACGACCAAUGGAGAGAAAACUGCUUGGGCCAACCAACCCUGCGCUCAACGGGUGCUCUAAUGAACAGUUUCCGUAUAUUAGUGCUACUGGAGCAUCGUCCCCACGAGCGACACCAUGCGGACGGCCACUGUACAGCUUCCCGCCAUACAGCUUUUUCCUCUAACCAAAGAGGCUUUGUGCUACUACCAGAGGCUCCAGCCUCCAUUCGGUGUUGCCAUUGUUCUGGCAUACGCCUGACGUCUGGCGAGUCAUUCAGGGAAUUCGCUGUUAAUUCGCCAAAUUCCCGCGUUUCCAAGUCUCCCCGACGCUCAUCUUGCCUGAAAGUUGGCGGGGUUUCAGCCAGCCUGGUUCCGUAGGCAACAGCGAACGUGAGUAAGGAAGGCCUCCCAUAAGCCAUGGGUUUGCUAACCGAGAUUCCUGCUGUAACAGAGAGGUAGAAGGGCCAGAAAUAGUAGCCCUCUAUUGUCUUGAUGGGUUGGCUAUCGAAGGCGGGAGGCACGCCUCACACUAUUUUGGCUCGGCCUUCAUGGCGCUUUCCUUUUCCAUGACUAAACUAGAGCACAAUGAAACUUUAGUCUUAUAGCCUUACCAAGCUCUUCCGACUGAUGGACAUGCUGAACAGGGUAUGUUACUUGAGUAUUUUUCAUAGUAACAGUUCACUAGAUAGAGUUCUUAUGUGGCUGACUUUUGUUAUUGAAAGCGUUGCUGAAAAGAUGGAAAUAUUGUAAUCACAUGGGUUCUGUUUCUGUAUCUACAUUAUAACUUUUUCCAGAAUAUUCUAUGUAAUAUUGCCGCUAAUAGGCAUGUAGCCAUUUAUAAAGCAUAACGAAAAUUCAUACUGAGUGUCUGGGUGGUUCAAGAACUAACGUGGGAUAGAGGUUAAAAUACAUAUUAGUGACGAUCAGUUUCCCCAAUGCAUGGGUUAGACCCCUCGAGCAUGGGUUCGACAGUGAGUAAAAAUACUUCACUCGAGAAGAAUUAAUCAUUUGCUAAUUAUUUUAUUAUGCAAAUCGUGCAUCUAAUGGCUAUAAAAAGCAGAUACGCACACUGAUAGUUAGACAUAUUUCGCAUGCUCAAUUUGUUGAAUACCAUCCACAGGACUGUACAAUCUACUCAACAAAUCUCUAUCUGUUUAUACGGUCUCUUAUCAUUCUACCUACUCCGGCGAUAUCGCCACCGUAAUUGACCCGUCAAAAAGCUAACUUCAAACAACGUGAGUUAGCAGCUUGAACGACAAGAAUCUUGUUCGCGUCUUUUACGUGAGGAUACUGCCGAACAGCUGACUAUGUACUCCUUAUACGUGGCUCCUGUGGGUUGCCAAAUACCAACACGGCGGUCGCUAACGUCGCCGCAGCAAAUUCGAAUUGAAACGCCUAUUUCUGUCCUUUCUAGGCAGCGUGCGUGCGUCCUUUGCCUAGGAUCAGGCCGAAAAGAGUUUAGAGCGCCAUUAGUCGUCCGACACAGCUCCUAUGUCCGCUUCUCUUGCUUUCAUCCACUAGUGGAUACUGAAAACAUAACUCAUGGCCGGGUCCUCUAUGAAGCGCAGACGCCAGCUUUCUUUCCAGAAUACUCUGACGAUAGUUGUAGUGAUUGUCAUAGUAGAGAUGCGUAGCCGUAUGAAGGCAGCGGGCGCCUGUUGCAACGGCAGCAGUUACAGAGCGCUGGCUUUGCGUAUCUAGCAGUGUGUCAUAGCCUCCACAAUCUUUAUUAGGGUUAAUAAGCUAGCGAUGCCUUUGAAUAUCCUGUUAACGACCGCUCGAUUGCUCGUGCUUGGACUGCUGCCAGUAUACAGCUUAUAGCUGCUAGUCUACAAACAUUCACCCGACUUUCAACACAAGGGUAGACUUUCACUGCAGUGCCUGUUCCUCCACUACUGCAGCUAUCGCCGUCGUUCCCAUAGAAUGUGUUGUGGGUACGCCGGUUGCGUGGCGGGAAUUUACGGGUUAUGGCAAGUGAGAAAAAUUGGGCGAGGGAGAACGACGUGCUUGGAAAGGGGAAAAGUAUGAGAGAACAAGACGAUUUUUGGGAGAAAGUGAUGGGAGUGCACAUGAGGGGAGUUUUAUUAUUGAGCUCAACAGCCUUUUUAACUAAACAGUACAGCUGAUAACGCGUUCAGUACUCAAUAAGUACUUCCAUGAUUUGCGCAGGCCAAGCUGAUAGCGCUGCAAACCUCAGUCUACAUUCUCUAAAGAGCCGGCUUGCGUUUCGCUUUUCCUUUUCUUUUUCUUUAAUUCCGUUAUCCAUAAUUCGUAAUUUCAUCUCCUACAGUCCAUCAAACCAUGAUAAGCUACCUCUGUUAAGCCCACCACGUUUUGGCUUUCCUGCGAACCGACAGACACGCCAAGAUAACAUAUAAUUGAAAUAUACCCCCCCGGUAAUAGUAUAAUUCUUUUUUGCUCUCAAGUUAGAAACUAAACUUAUAAGUCCAUAGUUAGAUUAGAAUAAAUUGAAUUGAUUUGAUUAAAUUCAAAGUAUAAUCUAUUUUUUUAUUUGCAUUUAGUUAAAUCGUUGGCAUGUGUACGACAUCAGCUUUAUACGCCCGAAUUUGCGUCAUACAUUUAACCAAUGAUAUUACAGCUCUUAUAUAUAUAUAUAUGUAUAUGUAUUUUUUUUCUUAACACACGAACAAUGUUGUAUUUUUAAAGCUCUCAUUUUACAGUGCCUGUUCGUACAUCAUAUCAACGAAAUCGUUUAUGAAAGUCUAUUGAAUUAAAAAAAACAUCGAUUGUAACGCAAACGAAAAAUUAGUUCGCCUAUAAAAACGUAUCGAUAAUUCGGUUACCGUAAAUCGAGCUCGCAAAUCGAGUUGCGUCAUAUUCGUGUAAAAAAUUAGGCCAAUCAUUAGAGAAGAAUGGAAGGAACUACGCUUAUAAGCUGGGACCCUCGAACGUUCCAGGAUCAGAAGAGGCUGAAACGGCACUCCUCAAAACUUUAUAGGAGGCACAAAAGUGCUUGGGAAAUCGAUUUGAACUCAGUGUAAGUGAGCACCGUCUGAAGAAGAGAGUAGAGAAGAAAUGUAAGCCAACUUUUGGCGUGGAUGUACUUUUUCAAUUGUACGUUUUGUAUGAAACUUGUCUAUCUCAUCAGUAACUGAUAAAGCUCAUAGUGGUGUCUUAGGAAGCAAAUUUGAUUAAAGUACACGUGCCUUUUGUAGGAAAGGUGAAACUGUUUAUAGAAGUAUGCACGGAUUGUAAAAAUCAUGUAUCUUCUCAGGUCGAUUCCCCGGCAUGUCAUUUUCAACUGAGAGAUUUCACUGGCACUUACCAGGCAAUAAAUAUAAAUCUUCACGAAAUGAAAAGUAUAGUGUUUAAAUUCUAAGCAUCGUCUACAUACUUGGCUUGUUUAUCUCGUCUAUAUUAUUUAGAAAUUCGAGACUUUUUGCUUCAAAUGUUCUUACUGAUAGCGACGUAACUGAAGUUUUUAAAUGUUACGCCUUUAUUUUAUUUUUAUUCACUAAGCGGAUAAUUAUCCUUUUGACGGGAACGGUAUAUCAAAAUCCAAUAAAAAUUCUAAGAUAUCAAGUCUGUUUUGGGUCGUUGGUGUGAGAAAAUGGUCCGACUAGUUUUCAAUGAAUAAAUCGAACUGUUUUUGCUUGACGUUUUUUUUUUUGCGAAUUGAUUUCCUCUACUCAAUACCAUCGUGUAGCUAUUUAUUUCUUAAACUACUUGUCAGACUGUAUCUACAGCUUUGGUUUUACCCAUCGUGUCCUCUGCGUUUGAAACCAUUUGCUUGUUUACCUGCGUCUACAGGCUGCAAAUAAUGAACUUAUAUUGCACUACAAAAUCUAUAACAUCAUCAUACAGAUUGUUUUAAUCUUCUUACUUUCCUUUCAAUUGUCAUAGCAAGUAAGAACAUUGUGCAAGCCGGCAGAUGCAAGGCAGAUCCGUCGUGUAACUUCAAGGUGCGACAUCGCAAGUUUCUCGCAUAGCGGUAUGUUUUUCUGGUCAAUUGUGGUGGAAACUUGUUUAUUUAAAAGCCCCUACGAACCCUCAGUACCAUACAGCACAACGAGUCGAACUAUAAAUCUAUGUUAUACAUGAAAAUCCAAUCGGGUGUCCUGUUUGAUCGGUUGUUUGUUGUCUUGCUCGUGUAUAUACCGAUGUCUGCGCGUAGUGCCGCAAAAUGCUACACAUUGUUGGCUCACGCUACUGAGCCUGGUAGACAGUGGGCUCAAUCCCAAAAUGGAAUUUGCCAUAUCGCUUCUAGAGUCGUCACAACUGAAAUGUCCAAUAAUUCCCCGUUCGUCAUAUUUAUCGACAGUGUCACCAUAAAACUUGGCAAACAUGAA